UUAACCAUAAAAAUUGUGCUUCAUUAACAGUUGCAACCAGCUGAAACCAAAAAAACUAUGUCCGCUAAACGGGUUAAAGACCAACUGGAAUUGACAUUUUUUACACGCAUACAUGCAUACAUUCAUAUACACAUGUACAGUGGAGUAGCACUAGGUUGAACAAUGCAUUGCUUGUACUUUGAUGUGUUUGAAUCUUUUAUGGUACUGAAGAUUUGCUUAGGGAUGAAAAAUAUUAAAAAUCGUUCGUGCAUAUAUGCACAUUGACCCACCUGUACAAAAAUUGUGGCGCGGCAUGGACAAAAAUUCUACAAUUUCGGACCGAAAAAUA